GGAGGAGAGCCCCAGCUCGGCGCGGCCCCGGCCCGAGCAGCACCGGCGGCUGCUCCUCAACUCAUUGGCCUUGCACCGCCCGCCCCGCCGGCUCCCCUCGGGCGCGGAGCGCGGCCCCCGUGCGCAGCUGCCUGACGCUGCAAAAUGGCGGCCGGCCGCCCCGCCGCGCCUGCGCGCCCCGCAGCGGGGGAGGCGGCCGCGGGGCCCCCCGCUGGAUGCCCCCCUGCUCCUGUCCUCGCCGUGCUUGGGGCUUGGGGCGGGGCGUUUGGCCGUGCGGAGAUAAGGCAGAAAAACCUCCUUUGUCUGCUCGCCGCGCCUCCCUCCCCUGCCUCUCAGGCCCUAAUAACCCACUUCCAGUGGCCGCUCUCUGGAGAACCAGUUUAAACCGAUACUCGUGAGCCACGCUGCCCGAGAGCUUGGGAGGCCUUGCUGACGUUGAUGGACAUGAUAGCUGCCUUCCUUUCAGGCUAAAGGAGGCAACAGGGAAGCAAACGACUUCUUGAAAGAGAGUAACCUGGAAGGCAAUCUAACUUGUAGACUACUAGAUAGAAAAAAGAUAUAUAUGUACAUAUCUAAAGGCUCAGGUGGUUUCCUGAGAAGAUAGCAAAUGAGAGGAGGUAUUAGAGACAUACAGCGUAUGCUUUCGUACUUACUGGUGAGCAUCAAUUUAUGGCCACUUUUUGUGGAUUGUGGUUGUUGUAGGCUUUGUUUUGGUUAUCUGUUGUGCGGUCUGUAGUUAAGUUUAUUUGUCGAAAGGAUAUCUUUACUGUGUUUAUUUCUCGCUGGUUUCGUUCUGACAAGUUUCUAAUGAUGUCAGUCACCUGGAUCAAUGGUAACUGAUGUAUGCAACUAUGUAGUGUUUUCCACAUGCUGUACUGGGUUCACUGUUCUUUUUGGUAUAUGAUGUAGUACUGCUGUUACUCAGGAUCUGAUUUUUUUUUUUCAAAACAUUAGUACUGUUGACAAGGUCAGCCCUUCUGCAUCAUUUUCAGAAGCACGUAGUUAGCACUUGUUAAUGCUAGCCUUGACUUUAUGACCUCUGGUUUCCUGUCUUACCAAAAGGUAUGUUACACCUUCUGUUGCGUUCAGUGAUAAAACAGAUACAUCUCUGAGAUGGUCAGGCAAAUACUGGACUGGGUGAACCUUUGGUCUGAAGCAUUAAGGUCUUUCUGAGUAGCUAAAUGUCUCUGCUUCCUGCUAGUCCAAGAACCAGAAAGAAUGCUGUCUGCA
rnacentral:lncRNA from 1 species